UAGAGUUUGAUCCUGGCUCAGGACGAACGCUGGCGGUGCGCCUAAUGCAUGCAAGUCGAACGGGCGAAGGGGCUUCGGCCCCCUAGCUAGUGGCAGACGGCUGAGUAACACGUAAGUUACCUACCCCGAAGAGGGGGAUAAACUCGGGAAACCGGGUCUAAUACCCCGUACGUUCUUCGCACUCCGGUGCGGAGAAGAAAGGUUCCGGCCGCUUCGGGAGGGGCUUGCGGCCUAUCAGGUAGUUGGUGGGGUAAUGGCCCACCAAGCCUAAGACGGGUAACCGGUGUGAGAGCACGAUCGGUCAGAGGGGGACUGAGACACGGCCCCCACUCCUACGGGAGGCAGCAGCAGGGAAUC
rnacentral:rRNA from 1 species